GCAGCUUCUGUGGUUUCACGACGAUCAAUACUGAGUAGAAGUCUGACAUAUAUUUUCUUUUUUCCUGUUCCAUUGCUUUCACAUUCAUUGUUUCGAGCAUAAAUACCGGCACUAGCAGGACAAUCAAAAUUAGGUUCACUAAAAAUAUCAACUUCGACGUUACUGACAACCCUUAAACCUUCCAAAACUGCUUCCAUGUAUGACUUCUUGUUCAUCCCUUUGGAGACAUUUUUCUUUGGAGUUGUCCUUAGUUCCAAGUAUACAACAUUUUCAGCAGCAAAAUCUUCAAUAACCUCUUUAGUAAUUCUGCUUACAGUUUCAUGGUCAGUUGUAAGAACGUGAAUCAAAUCAAACAUUUUGAAGACUUCAGUAAGGGAGCGAUCAUGUUUUAAGAUAACACGCUCCACAUCGGGAAAAUGUACGAGCCCCCUGUCACCCAAUUCUCUGGCAAGUUCCAUCAAAGUGGAGUCUCUGAUGGAGCCAUUAAGGUGAGCGUGUAGUUCAACUUUUGGCAUUGACACCCACCAAUUCAUCUUGAGAAUAAAUGGAGGAUUUGCACUUGAGGGUUUAGGGCUGCCUGAACAAAAACUAAAACUAAACAACAAAAUCAACCCGGCGUG
rnacentral:misc_RNA from 1 species